rnacentral:lncRNA from 1 species
GCAUAUAUAAGCACUAUAUUCAUAUCAAAAAUCUAAGCACUUAUUAUGUUGCUAUUUGUGACGCCUUUCUUAUUUUAGCAAGAAAAUAAUGGUCCCCUCAGAUUAGUAAGUUGUAACUUUCGCAACCAUUAAAAACAUAGAUAAUUAAAGAUAUCAACUAAUUUGCUGUUAACAUGAAAUAAACAAUGCUCCAAAUCAAUGUGUACCUGUCUUAUACCUUGUCAACAAAUUGAACUCGUUGACAUGUCCCCAUUUUUAUCUCCGUUGCUGCAGCUGUUUGGUCCAAUAUCUCCAUGUAUCGCACUUACUAAUCAAAAGAGAAAGUUUGUCCAUCUUCAUAGUUCAUACCGAGUAUCAAUCAAAAGAGAAAGCAUGCACUGGAGGACUCAACGUCGUUGUUCUUGAGGGCACAUAUAUCUGCAUAGCCAAAUUUCUAGCUAGUUAUCUAAGAUAGUAAAGUGACACUUGUACAAGGUAACAAAAAUCAAGCAGACAAGGAGACUCAAAAGAAAGCUCUGGCCAACCAGUGGUCCGUAC